UACGUAGGGUGCGAGCGUUGUCCGGAAUUAUUGGGCGUAAAGAGCUUGUAGGCGGUUUGUCGCGUCUGCUGUGAAAAUCCGGGGCUCAACCCCGGACUUGCAGUGGGUACGGGCAGACUAGAGUGUGGUAGGGGAGACUGGAAUUCCUGGUGUAGCGGUGAAAUGUGCAGAUAUCAGGAGGAACACCGGUGGCGAAGGCGGGUCUCUGGGCCGAUACUGACGCUGAGGAGCGAAAGCGUGGGGAGCGAACAGG
rnacentral:rRNA from 1 species